rnacentral:rRNA from 1 species
AGAGUUUGAUCCUGGCUCAGAUUGAACGCUGGCGGCAGGCCUAACACAUGCAAGUCGAGCGGUAACAGAAAGUAGCUUGCUACUUUGCUGACGAGCGGCGGACGGGUGAGUAAUGCUUGGGAACAUGCCUUGAGGUGGGGGACAACAGUUGGAAACGACUGCUAAUACCGCAUAAUGUCUACGGACCAAAGGGGGCUUCGGCUCUCGCCUUUAGAUUGGCCCAAGUGGGAUUAGCUAGUUGGUGAGGUAAUGGCUCACCAAGGCGACGAUCCCUAGCUGGUUUGAGAGGAUGAUCAGCCACACUGGGACUGAGACACGGCCCAGACUCCUACGGGAGGCAGCAGUGGGGAAUAUUGCACAAUGGGCGCAAGCCUGAUGCAGCCAUGCCGCGUGUGUGAAGAAGGCCUUCGGGUUGUAAAGCACUUUCAGUCAGGAGGAAAGGUUAGUAGUUAAUACCUGCUAGCUGUGACGUUACUGACAGAAGAAGCACCGGCUAACUCCGUGCCAGCAGCCGCGGUAAUACGGAGGGUGCGAGCGUUAAUCGGAAUUACUGGGCGUAAAGCGUACGCAGGCGGUUUGUUAAGCGAGAUGUGAAAGCCCCGGGCUCAACCUGGGAACUGCAUUUCGAACUGGCAAACUAGAGUGUGAUAGAGGGUGGUAGAAUUUCAGGUGUAGCGGUGAAAUGCGUAGAGAUCUGAAGGAAUACCGAUGGCGAAGGCAGCCACCUGGGUCAACACUGACGCUCAUGUACGAAAGCGUGGGGAGCAUACAGGAUUAGAUACCCUGGUAGUCCACGCCGUAAACGAUGUCUACUAGAAGCACGGAACCUCGGUUCUGUUUUUCAAAGCUAACGCAUUAAGUAGACCGCCUGGGGAGUACGGCCGCAAGGUUAAAACUCAAAUGAAUUGACGGGGGCCCGCACAAGCGGUGGAGCA